rnacentral:pre_miRNA from 1 species
UCUUAUGGACAAGCAAAGAGCGUGGUUUCUUGAGAUGGAAUCUACUCCUGGUGAAGAUGCUGUGAG